AUUGAACGCUGGCGGCAUGCCUUACACAUGCAAGUCGAACGGUAACGCGGGGCAACCUGGCGACGAGUGGCGAACGGGUGAGUAAUGCAUCGGAACGUGCCUAGUAGUGGGGGAUAGCCCGGCGAAAGCCGGAUUAAUACCGCAUACGACCUAUGGGUGAAAGCGGGGGAUCGCAAGACCUCGCGCUAUUGGAGCGGCCGAUGUCAGAUUAGGUUUUUGGUGGGGUAACGGCCUACCAAGCCUGCGAUCUGUAGCUGGUCUGAGAGGACGACCAGCCACACUGGGACUGAGACACGGCCCAGACUCCUACGGGAGGCAGCAGUGGGGAAUGUUGGACAAUGGGCGCAAGCCUGAUCCAGCCAUGCCGCGUGCGGGAAGAAGGCCUUCGGGUUGUAAACCGCUUUUGUCAGGGAAGAAAUGUUCUGAGCUAAUACCCCGGGAAGAUGACGGUACCUGAAGAAUAAGCACCGGCUAACUACGUGCCAGCCGCCGCGGUAAAAC
rnacentral:rRNA from 1 species